rnacentral:rRNA from 1 species
AUUGAACGCUGGCGGCAGGCCUAACACAUGCAAGUCGAGCGGCGCGGCGGUCGGGUGAGUAAUGCCUAGGAAUCUGCCUGGUCGUGGGGGAUAACGUCCGGUACCGGGCGCUAAUACCGCAUACUAUCAGAUGAGCCUAGGUCGGAUUAGCUAGUUGGUGGGGUAAAGGCCUACCAAGGCGACGAUCCGUAACUGGUCUGAGAGGAUGAGCAGCCACACUGGAACUGAGACACGGUCCAGACUCCUACGGGAGGCAGCAGUGGGGAAUAUUGCACAAUGGGCGAAAGCCUGAUGCAGCCAUGCCGCGUGUAUGAAGAAGGCCUUCGGGUUGUAAAGUACUUUCAGCGGGGAGGCGUUACCCGCAGAAGAAGCACCGGCUAACUCCGUGCCAGCAGCCGCGGUAAUAC